UACAGAGGUCCCGAGCGUUGUUCGGAUUCACUGGGCGUAAAGGGUGCGCAGGUGGUUUGGCAAGUUUGACGUGAAAGCCCCGGGCUUAACCCGGGAAUGGCAUUGAAUACUGCUUGAACUGGAGGGUCGGAGGGGGGACUGGAAUUCUUGGUGUAGCAGUGAAAUGCGUAGAUAUCAAGAGGAACACCAGUGGCGAAGGCGUGUCCCUGGACGAUACCUGACACUGAGGCACGAAAGCCAAGGGAGCAAACAGG
rnacentral:rRNA from 1 species